CCUACGGGUGGCAGCAGUGAGGAAUAUUGGUCAAUGGGCGCGAGCCUGAACCAGCCAAGUCGCGUGAGGGAUGACGGCCCUACGGGUUGUAAACCUCUUUUGCCGGGGAGCAACGGGCGCCACGUGUGGCGCCACUGAGAGUACCCGGAGAAAAAGCAUCGGCUAACUCCGUGCCAGCAGCCGCGGUAAUACGGAGGGAGCGAGCGUUGUCCGGAAUUACUGGGUGUAAAGGGAGCGUAGGCGGGACUGCAAGUUGGGUGUCAAAUCUACCGGCUCAACCGGUAGCCGCACUCAAAACUGCAGUUCUUGAGUGAAGUAGAGGCAGGCGGAAUUCCUAGUGUAGCGGUGAAAUGCGUAGAUAUUAGGAGGAACACCAGUGGCGAAGGCGGCCUGCUGGGCUUUUACUGACGCUGAGGCUCGAAAGUGUGGGGAGCAAACAGGAUUAGAUACCCGAGUAGUC
rnacentral:rRNA from 1 species